rnacentral:lncRNA from 1 species
AACCAUCCCCUCCAACAUGUGCUUCUUUAGUUUCACCUCUCUCUCUUUCUCUUUCUAAUCUCUAUAGUACAAACAUCCAUCCUUCACUCUAUAUUAUCCUCAAGUUUUUGCUAUGAGCAUUCUAAAAAAUCAACGAGAGAGAGAGAGAGGGUUAUGCCUAUGCAUGGCGAUAGCAUCAUCGCAUCCUGGAUCAGACGAUGGAAGGCAAAAGGCUGACUCUUUAGUGAAUAUGGAGAUAGAGGAGAGAAGGUUUCAAUAUUAAAAAGUGAGAGAUUGUGCCUAUAAUCUCCGGGUGGGUUUCUAUAUGGAGAAGUUAUUUUUGUUAUUAAUGAAUCAAACAAAUCUAGGAUUUCAAAUCUCGAAUUGGCAAUUUUGCAUGUUAUUCUAUUUUGUUUUUGCUUUCCUCUCAGCUGGUUUUGCAUUUGUGGGUAUGUUUGUUAUGUCUGGAUUAUUUAAAAAGAAUCAAAAAUUACUUAAAAAUAUUUAUUUUUGAAAAUAAUUGAUUAAUCAUGUAGAUUAUGGUGCUUUGUCUUCUUAUCCAUUUUGCUAGCUAUCCUUUUUCACUUAUAUAGAUUUUUGUUUUGAAUUCAAACUCAAAGAUAUUUUUUUUAUUCCUUUAAACAUUUUGCACUUGAUGAUUUUAAUUAACAUUUAUAGCCCUUUUUUUAUGAUUUUCAAUUUAUAGGUCUCUUUAUUUUAUGUUAAUAAUUUUUUGAUGAUUGCCAUUAUUAAUAUAAGGCAAAAAUAAUUUUAUUUUUAUUUUCUAAUCAUUUGUUCAUUUAUUUUUUGUGUUUAAAAAAAAUAAUAAAAUGAACAUCUCAAGCUCCAAAUCCACCAAUUCACUGUGGCGUCCAUGAUAAAGGAAGAGAGACGUGUUUGUAUUGAAGGAGAGGCUUUUUCCAGUAAAUAAAUUCAUAAAAAAUAUCCAUGUGUCGCUUAUGUAGCAUUCUGGCUAAUAUAAAGGGAUAAAAUCGUCCUUAGGCAUUUUAGUAUUACACACAUUGAAAUUUGAGUUUUUUCAAGUUACAUAUUCUAACUCCCUAAUAUUUUUGUGUCAUGAACAGUGAUUUAUGAGACUAUGAAUAGUAUCAUCCGACCAAAAAUCAGUAUUUUUUUUGGCCCCAAAAUAUUUUUGUUCAUAAUUAAUGUUUUUGUUAAUUAUUUUGGUCCGCGCAUGCAUUAUUUUGGUGGAAAAUAAGUUAUGAAUUUAUUUGGAGAAAUUAAGCAAUAAUGAAUAGUGUUUCGGGGUAUUUUUAAAAAUUAAAAAAAUUGGAGAAUUAGAAAUAUUGACUAAAAAUUAAUAACAAAUUUUGUAGAGGAAAAGAUAAUUAUUGAGAGUUGUUGUAGGAUGAGAUAUUAGCAAUUACAUCAAAUAGUUGGAGAUUAAAUCUCAACCCUCUUCUCCUCUUUUCUUGUUUUUGAUUUAUUACUUUAGCUUUACUCUUGAUUAGAAUAAGGAGAGCCUUCCAAGCAAGAUAAAGGAAAAGCCAAGGGUUAUAAUUGAAAUUAAAGCUUUCUAAAGCUUGUUUUUAAUUUAUUGCUUUAGCUUUACUCUUGAUUAGAAGAAGGAGAGCCUUCUAAGCAAGAUAAAGGAAAAGUCAAGGGUUAUAGUUGAAAUUAAAGCUUUCUAAAGCUUAUUGAAGGUUAGUGCUUACCAAUUUCAUCUCCCCUUUCUUUUUCUUUGAAUUUCAAUUUCUAGGUUUUGUGAGAAAUUUUGUGUGAAUUAGCCCUAAAUUGUUGUUUUCUAAGUGAAUUAAUGUUCUCUUGGGUGAUUAUGUAAGAUAGGUGAAUGAUUAAUUGCAUGAAAGAACUCCCCCUCCCUUUUCUCCUAUGAGUGGCCGAACCACUUUGGUGGUUGAGGUUGAUGUUUUUCUUGCUUUCUCAUCUUAGUAAUUCUCUUUUAAUGAUGAUAGAUAGGUGUUUAAAAUAUGGUAGAAUUAUCUUGCAUGAAUUCCUUAGUUUAGUAUUUUUGCUAAGACUUAAACUUGAGACAUAUGGGGAUCUUUGUAACGCCUCAUUUUUUAUGUCUGAAAUAAUAAGUUACCGGUCUGUGAAUAAUAGUACCGGUUCAGAAAUUAGUAUUAUUUGGUCUGAAAAAAUUAUUAUUUAUGUGUCAUAUUUUAGUUAAUAUUUUUGGAUUAUGCAUACAUGAUUUUUAUGGGUAGAAAAUAAGUAAUGAAUAUUUUUUGAGAAUUUAGAUAAUUAGUGAAUAGUGAAUUAUGGUGUUAUAUUAAUUAAGGAAAUUUGAGGAAUUAUUUUUAUGGAGUAAAUGUGAGAAUUUUGUUUAGAAAAAUAGUAUUUUGAAGGAAUUUAAUUGGACAAUAUUUUUAGCUAUUAGAUGAGAUUACUAUUGACUUAAUCUUAGCCAUACAAUUGUGGAAAAAGACCUAAAUACCCUUUGAUCAUGUUCUAAGGUCAACUCCAAUAAUUGAGCAACCACUUUUUUUUCUUCUUCUUCGUCUCUUCAACAUGAACUUCCUCUCCUCCUUCUCUUUGUUUUUCUCCACUUCCUACUUAGCUAAAUUCACCAAAUCUUUUCCAUCCAACCUGAUUUAAGUAAUAAAUCCUAGAGAAUUAAGGUUGAGAAUUGGUUUUUGGUGACUUAUUUCAAGAAAUUUGGAGAUUCUCUACUUGAGCCAAAGGUUGGAGAAACCUAUACCAUGGAGUAAAGGCAAAGUUAGAGCUUAGAAAGCUUUAAUUUAAGCUUGCUAAAGCUUAUUUUUAAGGUUAGUGUUCAUAAAGUUACCUUGUUUCAAUUUUUGAUUUUGUGAAUUUAUGCUAUUAUGUGUAUACUUGGAGAUUUUGUAUGAAAUGAUUGAAUUGUUGAAAUUUGGUUGUAUAAACAUGCUCUUGGGUAAUGUUUGAUUAUUAUUUAGUAUGUGGUAGAAAUCUCUAUCUUGUAUCUUUGUCUUUCAUGUUCUUUUUCAUUAUUAAAGUAAGCUGAAACUCGAAAAAUGUCUAUGAUUGUAUAGACCUUUGUUAUAAAUGUCAAUGUAUGUUGAAAUCGCAUGACUCUAUGAUUGUAAAUGAUUUUAUGAAAUUUGUGUUUUAAGUUGCCAUCGCAACUUUGGUAAGUAUGUGAAUUAUGAGCACCACUGAGUUUAUACUCAGCGCAUUGAUUUUAUCACGCGUAGGUUGAAGACCGUAAUUGCUGCUUGAAAAUCAGAAGAGUAGUAUCAGAGCAGAAGUGACUAUUUUGGUAGUAGUGUAUUGAGAUUUAUGUAAUUAAGAAUUAUGGCACGUAUAAUUAUUAUAUUUUCGGAGAUUAUGUUAUUUGAAUUAUAACUAAAGCAUGUAAUUAUCAAUUAUGUUGGUGUAUAUAAAUUUGGAGAUAAGCAUAAGAUUUAUUAAAUGAUUUAAUGUAAA